rnacentral:tRNA from 1 species
GAGCCCGUGCAUUAGGCGCUCUGACUUUUAAUCAGAGGGUCCUGGGUUCGAGUCCCAGCGCGCUCU